UACGAGGGGGGCAAGCGUUGUUCGGAAUUAUUGGGCGUAAAGGGUGCGUAGGCGGUCUGAUAAGUCAUCUGUGAAAUCUAUGGGCUCAACUCAUAGUCUGCAUGAGAAACUGCCGGGCUUGAGUAUGGGAGAGGUGAGUGGAAUUCCUGGUGUAGCGGUGAAAUGCGUAGAUAUCAGGAGGAACACCUGUGGCGAAAGCGGCUCACUGGACCAUAACUGACGCUGAUGCACGAAAGCUAGGGGAGCAAACAGG
rnacentral:rRNA from 1 species